GAACCAGUCUCGCUGAGUCCCUUUUACAGGGAACGGGGGAACCGAUAUGGCUUACAGUACGUCCGGUGUAUGUGCAAGAGAUAAUAUCUCUCAGUAUCCGGCUCGACCGAAAUUCAUUUCCCGGAUGGGAUUGAACAGGUAGAGAAGCCGUAUUUCGAUUUCUUUCUGGGUCUUCGGGGUGAAUGUGAAGGCGACCGCCAUGAGCGGUUGACCUAAGCUAGGGCGACUCUCUACGUCCGAACCCGACAGCUAACCCCGUAAGCGUAACAAGAGAGAAGCC
rnacentral:sRNA from 2 species